GUCAGAUCAGUGGUGGCAUUAGAUUCUCAUAGAAGUGCUACCCCUGCUGUGAACUGUGUAUGCAAGGGAUCUAGGUUGCAUGUUUCUUAUGAGAAUCUAAAGCCUGAUAAUCUGUCACUGUCUCCCAUCACCCCCAGAUGGAACUGUCUAGUUGCAGGAAAACAAGCUCAGGGCUCCCACUGAUUCUACAUUAUGAAAAAAGAACACUGGAGCACAAGAAGACCUCAAGCGGAACACGGAAAAACGUCCUGUGCGCGGCAGUUGCAGAUGAGUUUAUAGAGCAUUAAAGGAGCAAGUAUUUUGACUUUUUUCAUGAAUGGCCGUUAGACAUUAACAUUCUUUUUUUAGCUGGAGUUUCACUCUUUUGCCCAGGCUGGAGUGCAGUAGCACAACCUCUGUUCACUGCAAACUCCACCUUCCGGUUUCAAGUGAUUCUCCUGCCUCAGUCUUCUGAGCAGCAGGGAUUAUAGGUGCCCCCCACCACGCCUGGCUAAUUUUUGUAUUUUUAGUAGAGGUAGGGUUUCACCAUGUUGGCUGGGCUGAUCUCGAACUCCUGACCUUGUGAUCCGCCUUCCUCAGCCUCCCAAAGUGCUGGGAUUACAGGCAUGAGCCUCCAUGCCCAGACUUUAACAUUUUUUUAAGGCAAGCAGAGCUAUUUAAGCUUAUUUGUCUUAGCUAAUUGGUUUAAUUUCACUGAAUCAUGUUGACAAGGAUGUAAAGUUUAAUAUUUUGUGUUUUAUUUAUAAAUAGAGCUAGCAUUUGGGAAAAUCAGGAUAACCUGAAGUGUUGGCUACAUGACUGUGGAUAGAUGGCCUUGAGUUAUAUCUAAACUGUGGCCUCCAUUUU
rnacentral:lncRNA from 1 species